GCCAUCUGCUGACUGGAGUGGGUAACGCAGUUGAGUAAAAUGUAUAUUUUAUUGUCAGACAACAAGUUAAAGUGUAGGACGCAUUAGUUUUUAGUCAGCAGUGUGACAACACAGUGUGGUUAAAGACUUACUAAGCUAGUUGUAGUCACGAUAUGGUUACCUAUGAGUACAAACAGUUAUGUUUUUGUGUUAUUACAUAUUUAUUAACUUAUUUCUGGAAGUCUUCUAAACUACCCACAAUGCACUGUGUUACAUUGUUUGUAUCCCAGUGUAGUGAAGUUUAACUCGGCAACUCGAACAAAUUCUUAUUUACAUUGACGGCCUACCCCUGUAUGAAGGACACACUUUACUGCCCUGUUUCCAGUUGUCCACAUGGCUGGAAGAACCUAUUCAAGUAAGUUUUCUGUCCUCAGAUAAAGAGCUCUAUGAAAGCCAGUCUACAUAUGAAGAGGUCCCAAUGAAGAGCAGUGGUUCUCAGUCCUGGGGACUCAAAGAGGGGAACAUUGUUGUUUUUGCCUUCACACUGCACAGCUGAUUCAAAUGAUUCAAACUCAUCAUCAAGCUUCAAGUGAUACCUUGUAACUGGAGAUUCCUUCAGAACGAUUGCCUACAGUUAACGUGUAGGGCACUGCAAGGUUGGGUGACCAGGGUCAUCUG